rnacentral:rRNA from 1 species
GACGAACGCUGGCGGCGUGCUUAACACAUGCAAGUCGAACGGUAAGGCCCUUCGGGUACACGAGUGGCGAACGGGUGAGUAACACGUGGGUGAUCUGCCCUGCACUUCGGGAUAAGCCUGGGAAACUGGGUCUAAUACCGGAUAGGACUCCGGACUGCAUGGUCUGGGGUGGAAAGCUUUUGCGGUGUGGGAUGGGCCCGCGGCCUAUCAGCUUGUUGGUGGGGUGAUGGCCUACCAAGGCGACGACGGGUAGCCGGCCUGAGAGGGUGACCGGCCACACUGGGACUGAGAUACGGCCCAGACUCCUACGGGAGGCAGCAGUGGGGAAUAUUGCACAAUGGGCGCAAGCCUGAUGCAGCGACGCCGCGUGAGGGAUGACGGCCUUCGGGUUGUAAACCUCUUUCAGCAUCGACGAAGCGAAAGUGACGGUAGGUGCAGAAGAAGGACCGGCCAACUACGUGCCAGCCGCCGCCGUAAUAC